rnacentral:rRNA from 1 species
CCUACGGGAGGCAGCAGUGAGGAAUAUUGGUCAAUGGACGCGAGUCUGAACCAGCCAAGUAGCGUGAAGGAUGACUGCCCUAUGGGUUGUAAACUUCUUUUAUAAAGGAAUAAAAUGAGGCACGUGUGCCUCUUUGCAUGUACUUUAUGAAUAAGGAUCGGCUAACUCCGUGCCAGCAGCCGCGGUAAUACGGAGGAUCCGAGCGUUAUCCGGAUUUAUUGGGUUUAAAGGGAGCGUAGAUGGGUUGUUAAGUCAGUUGUGAAAGUUUGCGGCUCAACCGUAAAAUUGCAGUUGAUACUGGCAGUCUUGAGUACAGUUGAGGUAGGCGGAAUUCGUGGUGUAGCGGUGAAAUGCUUAGAUAUCACGAAGAACCCCGAUUGCGAAGGCAGCUUACUAAACUGUGACUGACGUUGAUGCUCGAAAGUGUGGGUAUCAAACAGGAUUAGAUACCCCUGUAGUC